rnacentral:ncRNA from 1 species
UGUAGUCUGAAACUCGACUAUAUGAAUAAGUAAUUACUAGUAAUCGUGAAUCACCAUGUCACGGUGAAUAUAAUCUCGGAUUGGUACUAACCACUCGUCGCAUGCUGAAAGGGGUUCACGCAAUAAGUUUGCUAUUCUGUUAUAAUCUCUUUUAUAAAUUGGAUUAAAAUAUUAUAAUGGGAUUCUUCGUAUGCGUGUCUCUGAUUAGUGUUAAGUCGAAAUACGGUUCGUGUAGUGGAAGUUGCACGGGGUUUAUUAACAUA